rnacentral:rRNA from 1 species
GUGGGGAAUCUUGCGCAAUGGGCGAAAGCCUGACGCAGCCAUGCCGCGUGAAUGAUGAAGGUCUUAGGAUUGUAAAAUUCUUUCACCGGGGACGAUAAUGACGGUACCCGGAGAAGAAGCCCCGGCUAACUUCGUGCCAGCAGCCGCGGUAAUACGAAGGGGGCUAGCGUUGCUCGGAAUUACUGGGCGUAAAGGGCGCGUAGGCGGACAUUUAAGUCAGAGGUGAAAGCCCAGGGCUCAACCUUGGAAUUGCCUUUGAUACUGGAUGUCUUGAGUUCGGGAGAGGUGAGUGGAAUGCCGAGUGUAGAGGUGAAAUUCGUAGAUAUUCGGCGGAACACCAGUGGCGAAGGCGACUCACUGGCCCAAUACUGACGCUGAGGCGCGAAAGCGUGGGGAGCAAACAGGAUUAGAUACCCUGGUAGUCC